UUGCCAUAAUCAUUGCUAUGACCAACGAAACAAGAAAACGAAAUUGACGCCGUCGCUCUCGGCAACGCUGCCUCCUCAAUUCUAUUCUGGAGUAUAUCUCGCCAACCACCACCCCUCUGCUCCCCAACCACCGCCCCGCACUCGCCCUCCGGCGCCGCCGCCUCAUCUCCCCCAUCACCGGCACCUCCUCCUCUCUGCCAGCCCCUUCUCCACACCUCGCCUAGAGCUCGCCCGGAUCAGAUCGACAGUGGUCAAUGGGUCACCGGCGGUUUCCCCCGCUGCCCCUCCUCCCUAGCGCCGCCCCAUCUACGCAGACGAAAGACGAGGCGCCGCGCAGCAGCCACUAUGGCGGUGCGACUGGCCUGCUCGUCGACGCCGCGUGCAUCGAUUCGGCGACGCGCGCGGCUCCGUCGAUCACGCCGGUCUGCGUCGUGCGCGCGAACGAGGGACAGCGGCGCGGUGCUGCACGCAGCCGCGGGGCCGCCGACGACCGGGAGGUCGAGCUGCUCGUCAUCGACGCCGCGUGCAUCGAUUCGGCGACGCGCGCGGCUCCGUCGAUCACGCCGGUCUGCGUCGUGCGCGCGAACGAGGGACAGCGGCGCGGUGCUGCACGCAGCCGCGGGGCCGCCGACGACCGGGAGGUCGAGCUGCUCGUCAGGGAGACGACGCCGUCCAGGGGAUUGUCGGCAUCGGCCUCAAAGCGUGGAGCUCUCUCAAAAAAAAAAAAAAAAAAAGGGCAGCGUGGAGCGCCUCCAGAACAAUUAGUGGCUCGUGACCCGCAUGGAGCUUACGGUGCUGGUUGUGGCUUACGCCUGCAAGUGGCACAGGCUGCCCACGGCGCUUCCGCCGCCACGCCACCACCGAAUUUUUCUCAAUGAACUGGACUAGUUUGCAUUACUGGAACUGAACUGGCUAUAUCAAUUAGUUAAUUGCCGAAAUAUAGAGUGCAUCUACACAAAGAUAAAUUUUUGCUGCAUGUCUGUUGUAAUUCUCAGUUAUUGUGCUUUAUCAAUAUUGUCAAUGUUGUAAAUUAUUUCUUCAAAGUACCAGAAGUGUGUUGACUACACUGGUUAGUUUCUCCUUUAAAUGCUCACAUUACAUGUUGCUGUAGUUUCUUCACCAUUUCACUGCUAAUGAAAAGCUCAGUUUCUAUGAUGCAACAAUGUUGUAAUUAAAUCAAUCCUGCAACCCCCAGUUGAAAAUUAAUGCAGCAAGGAAUUUCAGUUGUAUCACUAAACUUGGUUAAUAGAGAUUCUUGAUAAAUGUUACACUUCCUCAAUGACGCCUUACUCUGAGCACAAUAUUGAGUUCAUUACCCUUCACUAUUAUCAGGAACUUUAGCAUACGACGGUCCCAGGUUCAGAGUUGCAGUGUGACAAUUUUGUUUUCUUUGCAGAGGAGAAGAACUGAUGCCGCUGAAGGGCAAAGGAGAUGUGCUGCUGAUGGCAGGUUAGGUGCUGCUGCAAAUCUCGAGGGAGAUUUCCUCUCCGUCCUUGCUUCGGUAGAACAACUGAUUCGAUAUUAGGAGAAAUUUUUAUCUAGUAAAUGAUCUUAUUCGAGUUUAUUGUGCACCAAGGGUUUCGCCAUGGCCCACAACGGCAGCCUGGAGCGCCUCCAGAAUGAGUAGUACUACGUGAUCUGCAAGGCUAGCUUGCCAUCUUGAUUUGAUUCGGUGUGGUUCGAUUCGUUGAUUUGGGGGUAACGUCCUGAUGCGCUUCUGUUUGGGUUGAUUGUUUGAUCGCCCGCAUGCCCAGCAACAUGUUGGAGUGGUGUAGUAGGUUGGUUCCAGUAAUUCCAUCUGCGUAUUUUGUAUUUACCGUCGUUCUCUUUAAUGGAAACUACAUUGUGUUGCGGGAGUGGUACUUGUGAUUGGUGGGCUGGUAUUGUGCUAAUCGUUGAUUGAUAUGGUAUGCAUAUGGAUAUGGAGUUUUACCAUACGGUUGUUCUUUGGUUUAGUCAUCGCAUGGCUACUUUUGCCCAUUUUUAGCAUAGGAAUUUAAUAUUUGAACUGCUUAUCUAACCUGCUUAAUGCAUUUGUAUGGCUACUUAUUGCUAAUAAUUCGUUCCGUUGGCUAAGGAAUUAGAUUAAAGCAUUUUAUAUAUAUCAUCACUUAUUUAUGGUGGAAGGACUGAUAAUGCAUCUGUAUGGCUACUUAUUGCUAAUAAUUCGUUCCGUUGGCUAAGGAAUUAGAUUAAAGCAUUUUAUAUAUAUCAUCACUUAUUUAUGGUGGAAGGACUGAUAAGUAUACAGAACAAGUGCUACACCUGUCUCUGGUAGAAGCAUUGUAGAACAUAAGAUCCCCGAUAGCGCAUAUUUAGUUGAUGCACAUGUAUGUGUUCUGAGAUGGCAUCACUUAUGUUUUGGUUAUCUUUGAUUUAUUCUUGGAAAUUCUAUGGACUUGUGUGCGAAGAGAUGUGAUUUCUCAUAGCUCUGUUGGUGACAUAAGCGAUUGAUUUUGAUCUGUAUGUUCUGAUUCUGAUGAUAGCCUUUUUAUUUAGGGAGAAAUAGCCCUUAUUUGUUGUGGUUCUAGUUUUGGUUGGGGAGAAUCACUUUGUUCUGGUUCUGAUGAUGGCAUGAAUAAUAAGAAGAGAAUACUACUAUGUAUGAUCUGUUUUUCACUUUAGUUGUUGAGUUGUCAAGAAGAUAGGCUACAGUAUCGAUGGUCAUUUUUUUUCCACUUUAGAGCUCUUUCUAGUCACUCUCGAAUAUUGCCAAUUAUCCUUAUGGAUCAUGCUUAUUUCUGAAGAAUGUCGUGCUUUAUUAGUUUCCUCAGUAGGUUGUCCUUGUGUUAUAUACAAAUAACAGGACUGCACUUUUGUCUCUUGGCUGCAACGGUGUGGAAAAUGACAGUGCAGUGACCAGAAUCCCACUGGCAAGUUUCGCCUCAAGGAUAGCCUGUUGUGCCUCCAGAAGAAGUAGCACGUUAUCUGCAAGUUGUGCUAUUCAUGGGAGCUGUCGCGGGCUUCUGCCUGAUCAUCCGAGCCAUGGAUAGCGGUGUCGACUCCAUGUGUUUGGAUGAUUCUUGGUAACUAUUUGGCUUCAAGAAUUCCAAGCAAGCGGAACUAUUCAAAUACCAAGCAAGCGGAAUGGUUCUUUUUUGUCGCCGAGGUUUAGGACUCUUUGCAUUUCAUUUCAUUGGAAAGAUAGAAGUUUUACAACCCUCCUAAGAGGCAGAAUACAUGAUCAGGGACUUAAUGUACAUCCCAGGUCGUCGGUAGCAAGAUGCGCAGACCUAGGGCGCCAGCUCUUGCCCACAGCCUAGCCUCGUCCUUGAUCAGGCCGACUCUAGCGAUGACGGAAGGUUGUGCACCCUCGAAAACGCAGUCAUUCCGAGUGACUGUAGUUGGUGAUACCUGCUGGGAAUGUUUUGGUCGAAGGCUCCGAGUAGAAACGGGCUCUAAUCUUUUGAUCACAGGUAAUCCUCUCUUACCAAAUGAUUGCCACUUAACUAGUGCAGUGCUUACUGUAAUAAUUAGAACAGCAGCAAGGUAGCACUUGAUGAUGAGGCUAUGUAUCUUGAUGUGUUGUUUUCUUUUGCAUCACAGUUUCGUUUGACAUUGCCAUCACUUGUUGUCAAUUUGUUUAUUUUUUUGCAAUCCUAAAAAUUGUAUGUCACUAUGUAUCUUCUUGGUGGUUCCAGUAUAUCUUGGUGUUUAUUUUCCUGAUAACUUGAAAACUAUAGUGCAGUUGUAAUUCCAUAUACAUAGGUGACUGCCAUUUCGAGGAAACAAAGGUGCUACCAUGUUGGUAGAUAGAUGCAUGCCCGUUGUCAUGUGUGUCUAGUUGAAGUCUUCCUCCUAAAUCUAUUUAUUUAUUUGCUAAAUAUGCUUUAUUAAAGCUGAUACUGAUGUUUUGUUCCUGCUGGAGGGUAAAUAACAAGGCAUCAGCUUGUGUGUUGAUGUAUCACUCGACAAGGAAGUAACAGGGGGGCAAGGAGACGUGGCCAUCAGGCAGCACCAUAUUGCAUGAGUUGUGAUGUAUGCGCCUUUAGCCUCCUUGAAUAUUAUAUCCGUGAUGUAUAUAGUUGCAAAGGAUGUGUUCUGCUGUAUUAUUCGCCGUACCAUGUUGCAUGAGUUGUGUUGUAUGCGCCUUUAGCUUUGUUUUAUUUGCUUUUUGUUGUGAAUGUCCCUAAAAGAUGCUGAUAUAUAUUCGCUUUUAUUGCUGAUUGUUUGAUAUGUGACCUGAAUGCUUGAGAAAUCAAAAGGUUUUGGCAAAUUUUAUA